UACAGAGGGUGCGAGCGUUGCUCGGAAUUACUGGGCGUAAAGGGCGCGUAGGCGGUGUAGCAAGUCGGGAGUGAAAUCUCUGGGCUUAACCCAGAGGCUGCUUCCGAAACUGCUGUGCUUGAGUGUGGGAGAGGCGCGUGGAAUUGCAGGUGUAGCGGUGAAAUGCGUAGAUAUCUGCAGGAACACCCGUGGCGAAAGCGGCGCGCUGGACCACUACUGACGCUGAGGAACGAAAGCUAGGGGAGCAAACAGG
rnacentral:rRNA from 1 species